CUCUCUCUCAUUCUCUCUAACCAUGUGACAACACAGAAAGUGGCCAUCUACGGGCCAGGAAGAGAGUUUUCAUGAGAAACCACUCUGCCGGACCUUGAUCUUGGACUCCUAACCUCCAGAAAUAGGUCAAUGGCUUGAAAAUUUAGAAAAGAGAAAAACGAAUUCCUGCACACUUCUGGAAAACGGAUAAAAGUGCUUCAAGUGAACUGAAAGUUUGCAAAACGCCCUGUUGGAAGAACUAAAAACCACCAAUGCUAGGAGCAGCAGAUCCCGAGACUCUUCGUGGCGCUGGCUCUCGGUCACAGCAGAACAGAUCGCCCCAGCUGAGCACCUUUAAACAGCCCAGUCGCCUUCAGCCAGGUCACAGACGGCUUUGGAACUGGAAAGGAAACAUGAAUGACGGGGUCUCCCCACUUCCUGUGUGAGGUAAACUGAAUAAUGGUUCCCAGAGACAUUCCUGUCCGAAUGCCUGGAACCCCUGAGUAUCAUCUCGGAGGGAGAAAGGGUCUUUGCAGAUUGGUUAAGUUAAAGCUCUUAAAAUGGGGAGAGUAUGCUGGAUUGUCCGGGUGGGCCCUAAAUGCAACCGUGAGCGUCCUUAUAAAAGGGAGGCGGAGCUGCGCUCUUGGCUUUGAAGAUGGGGCAAGGGGCCAUGAGCCAAGAAAUGUAAGAAAAGCGGCUCUAGAAACUGAUAUAGGCAAGGAAAUGGAUUCUCGCCUGGAGCCUGGGGGAGGGGGACCUGGGGACACCUUGAGCUGGUCAGUGAAACUGAUUUCAGAUUUCUGACUUCCAGAACUGUAAGAGAAUAAAUGUUGUUAUUUCAAACCACAAACUUGUGGUAAUUUGUUACAGUGGCGAUAGCAAACUAAUGC